CUGAACUCAGGUUGUCAGGCUUGGGCACAAAUGCCUUUACCUACUGUACUGAACCAUGUUGUCAGUCCUGCUUUGCAAACUUCAAGAAAGUGGACUUAGAAACACAGCCAUUUGCUCCUGGGGCAUGCUGAAUAUCAGCACCUGUAGAAGCCUGAACAGAAUGUUGAAUCCCUGGGAGCUGGAGUUACAAGCAGUUGUGAUGUGUGUGUGCUGGGAACCAAAUCCAGUCCUCUGCAGCUCUGGAGGAAAAGAAGUGCAGGGUUCCUGAUCAUGAACGAGGGAGUAAGUCCGACACCUGGGUCUUCUUGGACACAACUGAGGCAAGUGUACUUAGUAAAGGUGAUUUGAUGGACAUGUUCUGGGCACACGCAGCCUGCUGCAGACAUGGAGAAUGCUGGUGCACCACUUGUUCCUUUACAGGGAGAAGAGAAACUAUGGGGUCUAGUGUAUUAGCGUCUUUCUACCUUCCUGAGUCACUGAAAUAUUGACUUUCUUCAUGCAUGAAGUAUUGCCCAAGUUGCAGUCCCUGAGUAACAAUGCCUAAAGCUAAUUCCUGGCUUGAAUAAGAACACACGUCACACAUUUAUUUCAGCAUAUCUGCACAUAGUUGAGAACAUUAAAGGAAUUAGACGAAUUAUGUGUGAAGCUUUCUAGUGAUGCAAAGAAUGAAAUAUAAGCAAUUGACAUGGUAGAAGGUGAAGAUGCAUGACACAGAUGUUUGCAGGGGCAGUCAGUGACGAAUAUCGCCAGCCUCCCUAAAAAUGGCCAAGGAUCAACACCAACGUAACAAAACUCUCAAGUUCCAUGAAAAUCUGCUUCUGGGAAGAGGAAACAUGGGUUUUUGUUUUUUGGACACAGCAUUUCCCAGUGGAGCUCAAAGGAAGACAACACAACUGAAUGAAUUGAAUAUCGUUAUGCCAAAACAAUCAACAGUACAACUCUGAACCCAUUAAAGACAAAAAGAAUUCGAAA